rnacentral:rRNA from 1 species
CCUACGGGAGGCAGCAGUGGGGGAUAUUGCACAAUGGGGGAAACCCUGAUGCAGCGACGCCGCGUGUGGGAAGACGGUCCUCUGGAUUGUAAACCACUGUCCCCAGGGACGAAGAUGACGGUACCUGGGGUGGAAGCUCCGGCUAACUACGGGCCAGCAGCCGCGGUAAUACGUAGGGAGCAAGCGUUGUCCGGAAUUACUGGGUGUAAAGGGAGCGUAGGCGGGAUGGCAAGUUGGGUGUUAAAUCUACCGGCUAAACUGGUAGGCGCACUCAAAACUGGUAUUCUUGAGUGAAGAAGAGGCAAGCGGAAUUCCUAGUGUAGCGGUGGAAUGCGUAGAUAUUAGGAGGAACACCAGUGGCGAAGGCGGCCGGCUGGGCUGUUACUGACGCUGAGGCUCGAAAGUGUGGGGAGCAAACAGGAUUAGAUACCCGUGUAGUC